rnacentral:lncRNA from 1 species
CUUUUGUCGACCAUAUUGUUUCAUGAUUAAAACAAAUUAAACUACGUCACAAGCAGGGUAGACUUUUUAAAAUUCAAAAACUACUGUCAGUGAAAAGCGUAUAUUUACAGGAUGUACUUCAAUAUAUAAACUAUUGGUGUUGAUCGGGGUAUAAAUAAAUAAUUUUGUAUGAAAAUAAACCAACAAGUGCUACGAAACCAAACAAUUUUUCUCUCCAUAUAAUAUUACUGAUUCUUCUGCUUUUCCCCUACCAUCGGAAAAAGUGAAUUUUCGCCACUGCCCUGUAUGGCACAGGCCUGUAUUCUUAUUUGUAUUUGGGCAGUUUUAUUUAGCCAGUGAGGCAAAUACAACGACGAUAGCAAUACAUUCAAGAUGGCGUCGAAAGCCCGAAACGCACCGUUGAAGGCUGAACGUCACAUAAAUUUACACAAAUUUCAAAC